GACGAACGCUGGCGGCGUGCUUAACACAUGCAAGUCGAACGGAAAGGCCUCUUUCGGGGGGUACUCGAGUGGCGAACGGGUGAGUAACACGUGAGUAACCUGCCCUUGACUUUGGGAUAACUUCAGGAAACUGGGGCUAAUACGGGAUAGGAGCUCCUGCUGCAGGGAGGGGGUUGGAGGGGUUCGGCGGUUGGGGAUGGACGCGCGGCUUAUCAUCUUGUUGGUGGGGGAGUGGCUUACCAAGGCUUUGACGGGUAGCCGGCCUGUGAGGGUGGCCGGCCACAUUGGGACUGAGAUACGGCCCAGACUCCUACGGGAGGCAGCAGUGGGGAAUAUUGCACAAUGGGUGGAAGCCUGAUGCAGCAACGCCGUGUGCGGGAUGACGGCCUUCGGGUUGUAAACCGCUUUCGCUCAUGACGAAGCUUUGUGUGACGGUAGUGGGUAAAGAAGCACCGGCUAACUACGUG
rnacentral:rRNA from 1 species